UUCCUCACUCUAUUCGCCUUCAUAAAAAAUCACACAAUCCUCUUCACACCUCUCUCAUCAACUCCUGGGAAGCCACGGUUACCGGUCCUCCGUAGCAGAUACCUUCUGCUAUAACCUAGAGAUUGGCCGCAGAUACCAACGACGCUGGAAACAGAGAUGUCAUUCCGUCCAUUUGCGCAGACUCUAUCGCGGAUUAUGUUAUGACAGGGCUUCAACGAAAUCAGGUUUCUAGCAACAAUGGCAAUCGAGAAUCAAGAGAAUACAAUCCGCGUAAUCCAGCCUAAAAAGACUGUAAACAUGAGAAAAGUUGGAAGGACUAUUUGGAAUCUCUUGGUCAUGGUCUUAUGUAUUUUCUUCUAGAAAGUUAUAUAUAUGCUUACAGCCUUACUUUACCCAAUAUUUAUAAUUUGUUUCCAUUUGAUACAUUUACCUCCUAUCCCUAGAUUUCUCUUCGUAAUCUGUCUUGGCAAGGCCUUCGUGCACGUACCAUAAAGGAAAAUUAUGACAAGAUCAGUGAAAAGAGAAAGCUUACACCUGUUGAGGUAAUAGUUGUUGAUAUAUUUACAGUUGUAUUGAAAAAUAUAGCUUAUACUCUGAUGUUUUCUCAUUAAGAACUAUUGG